CGUGUCUCUAGUGUCAGCAGCCGCGGUAAUACGGAGGGGACUAGCGUUGUUCGGAAUUACUGGGCGUAAAGCGCACGUAGGCGGAUUUGUAAGUCAGGGGUGAAUCCCGAGGCUCAACCUCGGAACUGCCUUUGAUACUGCAAAUCUCGAGUCCGGAAGAGGUGAGUGGAAUUCCUAGUGUAGAGGUGAAAUUCGUAGAUAUUAGGAAGAACACCAGUGGCGAAGGCGGCUCACUGGUCCGGUACUGACGCUGAGGUGCGAAAAGCGUGGGGAGCAAACAGGAUUAGAUACCCUGGUAGUCCACGCCGUAAACUAUGGGUGCUAGCCGUCGGGGAGCAUGCUCUUCGGUGGCGCAGCAAACGCAUUAAGC
rnacentral:rRNA from 1 species